AAUUAUUGGGCGUAAAGAGCUCGUAGGCGGUUUGUCGCGUCUAUCGUGAAAGUCCGAGGCUCAACCUCGGAUCUGCGGUGGGUACGGGCAGACUAGAGUGAUGUAGGGGAGACUGGAAUUCCUGGUGUAGCGGUGAAAUGCGCAGAUAUCAGGAGGAACACCGAUGGCGAAGGCAGGUCUCUGGGCAUUAACUGACGCUGAGGAGCGAAAGCAUGGGGAGCGAACAGGAUUAGAUACCCUGGUAGUCCAUGCCGUAAACGUUGGGCACUAGGUGUGGGGGACAUUCCACGUUUUCCGCGCCGUAGCUAACGCAUUAAGUGCCCCGCCUGGGGAGUACGGCCGCAAGGCUAAAACUCAAAGGAAUUGACGGGGGCCCGCACAAGCGGCGGAGCAUGCGGAUUAAUUCGAUGCAACGCGAAGAACCUUACCAAGGCUUGACAUGUGCCAGACCGCCGUGGAAACACGGUUUCCCCUUUGGGGCUGGUUCACAGGUGGUGCGUGGUUGUCGUCAGCUCGUGUCGUGAGAUGUUGGGUUAAGUCCCGCAACGAGCGCAACCCUCGUUCUAUGUUGCCAGCACGUGAUGGUGGGGACUCAUAGGAGACUGCCGGGGUCAACUCGGAGGAAGGUGGGGACGACGUCAAAUCAUCAUGCCCCUUAUGUCUUGGGCUUCACGCAUGCUACAAUGGCCGGUACAAUGGGUUGCGAUACUGUGAGGUGGAGCUAAUCCCA
rnacentral:rRNA from 1 species